rnacentral:lncRNA from 1 species
AUUAUUUUUGAACCUGCAAUAAUUCCUUUAAAAACAAAACAUUCUACUACACGCAUGAUUUCUUCUUCACCAACAUAUGGUAUUGGUAAAUAUUAACCUGUUAUGUCAGAUCAAAAAGACUGAUUCUGAUUCAAUUAAGAUUUUAAUGUAAAAACUACAAUAUAUCUGUAAUUGCACAAGAGGAUCACAUACUUUCAAGUAGUACUGUAAUUCGUUUAUUGUCUUUAGCGGAGAGCCUCUGCUGCUGAGCAUGCUCUGGCCAUGGAGAAGAAUGAGGCAGCGCUACUCCGCCAGAGGAUUUUUCAACUAACCUCAAAGAAGCUGAAAAUAGGAAAGCCUGGGUUCCUGAUCAAGACCACCCCCAAGCCCCCGAAAACAACCAAGACCAACAAACCCUUCUUGAAGACCUGCAAAUUUCUGAAAGCUUUCAAAGCACUAAUGAAGAUAUGAAGGCAAUGCAUACAAUUGUACAUUUUGUGCAAUUAUUCUCAGGACACGGGGUUAAGCAGAGUACAAUAAAUAAAUCCAGAUGCCUUAUUCCAUCAAACAACUGCAACACGUGUUUUAUGUCAUUUAUAUGGUAGGUCUCAUUAGAUAUCAUCCAACUCUUUAAAAAUGCCUUUGUAUGCAGAUUUCUGCUCUGUUGCCAUUAGGUAAGAUACAACUCCAUGGGGCUUACCUGCCAAGACCUCCAUGGAAGCCACAUAUCCCAUCAAUUACCAAAGCCAAAUGGUAGGCCUAUGAUGAAGUCUAUUUUCUAGGUCUCCAGGGCUAUUUUGGCGACGGGAAACCCCCACCUGAAGGUCGAUUUGUCCUCACUUUGCAACCCAGACUCUCUUUAGGGACCUGAGCUGUUCAAGAAACCUAGACAUCUUAACAGCUGUAGAUGGUUCACUUGAGUGCUUUGCGCUGAAGCACGAAAAUGACGAGUGGAAGAAUAGAUGUCCAUUGGAUAGCCGUGAACAUAUUGACAUCGUGUUUUCACAAAGACUUAGGUCAUGGGGCGGCAGGGUAGCCUAGUGGUUAGAGCAUUGGACUAGGAACCAGAAGGUUGCAAGUUCAAAACCCCGAGCUGACAAGGUACUGUCCCUGAGCAGGCAGAUAACCCACUGUUCCUAGGCCGUCAUUGAAAAUAAGAAUUUGUUCUUAACAGACUUGCCUGGUUAAAUAAAGGUUAAAAAAAUGAUUUGGACUUGUCAAAUUUGAAGGCCUAAUGCCAUUUUUGGGUUUCUGUUUCCUUCCUGAUAGCCAGCUAACAUGAUCAUUUAUGCAAAGUAGGGCUUGUAUUGCUAAAUAGUUCAAUGCAAAAAAUACCAGAAAGGCAUAUUGAUCAUAUCCGACGAUGGCUUGUAUUCAAUGUGGAUAUACAGUAUAGUGCCCAACAAUGUUGCAACCAUGCUACAGGCGUUGUGUAGCCUGUUAUGAUAAUGCUGCCUAUAGAAGAAAAAAAAACAAAACAUUAAUGACUGACUAGCACUAGCCUAUUCCACCACAAUAGGUCGCUGUGUUACCAUUUUUCCUCCCUUCCUUUCCCUCCCUCCCCUCCAACCAUGGUCCUGCGUAGACUGCUGAUGAGUUAAUGCCAUUCUGGAGGUUAUUCUCCUAGAUUUCUCUCCUUGGUCUGGUCUAGACCUGUGGCAGAGGUCAAAUUGUAGACGUAAUGGUCACUGUCAUUGCAGGCCUAUUAGAAUUGUGCUUUAUGACCAAUUUGAACAUUUCGUAGACUUGCAUUCAGCAACAGAUAAUCAUCAAUAGUGGGGUUGAAGAGUACUGUUUGGGAAAGCCCAUCCUAUGUUAAUAGUUUAAAAAGGCUUCUUGUAGACCAGGGUUGGCCGCAUGUGGUCUCGUUGGGCAGGGGGCUUGCCUUGGAGGAGAUUGGCCAUUAGUUCCGCUUCCUUUGACUCUGUAGCGCACGGGAAUUAGUAGAAUCUCGCUGAAUAGGCAUCUGUAGCCUACGCAAGCAGGGCUGCUGUGUAGUACUAGUAGGCGCAGCAGCGAGACAAGCAGGCGAGCAGAGCCGUCGCUGGCGUAUACAGUGAAUUUACAAUAGACGAACGCGUUGAACAGCGGCACUUGAACCAGAGGA